AUGAUCAUCCCUACCAAGGCAGGGGGUGCGCCGCGCUGCGCCGGCCGCAAGAGACUGCACGCGCUCACCCUGGCCGUGUACGACCCCGCCGCCGCGGAGCAGCGGGCCAACGCGGCCAGCCUCUCCCUCUCCGGCGCUCUGGUCCCGUUCUUGGCGCCGCCCGUCGACGCCGCACCCAUAAAUCCCAACAUAAACGCCGUCCCGCUCUCCGCCGUCGCUCCCCGAGCCGAGCCGGCUUGGAUACGCGCCCACUUCGACCUCCGGCUCGACCUAACGGUGACCUUCAUAGACGAGAAGGCCGUGACCGCCACCGACCUCGACCCGCAGCAGAACCGGUUUCGGCUCCCGACAGCGGGCGUGCUGCGCAGCCUCCGCCCAAUCCUCUCCCUGGAUGAGCUCGACGCCGCCAGGAUACCUCGUGAGGACGCCAAGCCGCCAAGGCUGCCGCCGACCGAAGAGGAGCUGCAGCAGAGAAAGAAGAAGCAGGGGAAGAAGCACGGCGGGCUUCCCGUCGUCGUGUGCAAUGUCCACGCCGCCACCAAGCAGCUGCAGCUGACGCGGUGGGAGAGCAGCCACGGCAACAUCAUCAAGGGGGAAGGGUACAUGGACUUCAUCACUCGGUGCUGCUUCAAGGAGAAUGACAUCGUCGAGAUCUGGGCCUUCAAGGAGCGCUACUUCUGCUUGUUCGGCGUCGACAUGUGCCAUGCAAGCCCGCUCUGCGUUGUGCUAACCAAGAAAGAGCAGCACCCGGCAGCGUCCAUAGAGAUGGUCAAGUGUACGAUGUAG
rnacentral:rRNA from 1 species